AGUGAACGCUGGCGGUAGGCCUAACACAUGCAAGUCGAACGGCAGCACAGUAAGAGCUUGCUCUUACGGGUGGCGAGUGGCGGACGGGUGAGGAAUACAUCGGAAUCUACUUUUUCGUGGGGGAUAACGUAGGGAAACUUACGCUAAUACCGCAUACGACCUACGGGUGAAAGCAGGGGAUCUCCGGACCUUGCGCGAUUGAAUGAGCCGAUGUCGGAUUAGCUAGUUGGCGGGGUAAAGGCCCACCAAGGCGACGAUCCGUAGCUGGUCUGAGAGGAUGAUCAGCCACACUGGAACUGAGACACGGUCCAGACUCCUACGGGAGGCAGCAGUGGGGAAUAUUGGACAAUGGGCUCAAGCCUGAUCCAGCCAUACCGCGUGGGUGAAGAAGGCCUUCGGGUUGUAAAGCCCUUUUGUUGGGAAAGAAAAGCAGCAGGUUAAUACCCCGCUGUUCUGACGGUACCCAAAGAAUAAGCACCGGCUAACUUCGUG
rnacentral:rRNA from 1 species